CACUAGUCUGGAGUUGGGAGUUACUCCACUGAUGAGUCCAUAUUAGGACGAAGUUGAUA
rnacentral:sRNA from 1 species